UGGUGUUCACGCUCCAUCCGCCCACCCGGCUGUGGACAGCUUGGCCAUCCUCAAAACGAAAAGUGGUCUCUAUAUCCUGCUUAGUAAACAAUGUUGAGGACACUCUCAAGUCUAAACUUCCUGCCCUGAUCGGCUCUGUGAAAGCUUCUAGUUCCGUGGGUCUCGUCCGGAGGUGAUCUGAACACCCUGCCCCUCCAGCAGGGGCCAUGUGUCAAUGUCUGGAGACACUGUUGACUGUCACAACUGGGGUGUGUCUGUGCUGAAUAAGUGAGUAAAGUAUGAAAACUAGUAAGCGUUCAAAGCAGUCACUCUUAGGUCCUGCACUCUUUUGAGAUAAAUACUCUGGAUGGACACGUAAACACCUACUUCUCCCCCUCCUCGGCAUCUUGCCCAUCUUCCAGGUGAGUUUUCUGCAGACCACCUUCAGAAACUUUUCUGAACUCUGCGAUGACCGCGUUUCACGCCUGAGAUGAUUUCAUGCCUCCGGAACCGGCGCAAUCAGGAACAUUUUCCGUCUUGCUGCAGAGCCGUGCGUGUUGCUUGCAAAUGACUUCCUUCUCCACCCUGGGACACAUUUACUGCCACCGACCCAGGGUCUUCCUUUCUGGGAACGAGACUACCCCUUGUUGGGAGGGCUGCAAUGUCACACUGGAAAGAUGUGGAAGCAGGGAGGCCAUGAACUGGGCACUCAAUGCAAUCCACCUGCUGCAACGGACACUCAGUGUUGAGCUGCUUGGAACCUAGGAGGCUUUUAAUGAAUGCUAAUUACUGGCACUUAGGGUAGCCUGUAGAAGUCCCAAUGUGUAUGUGGUCUAGUCUCAGCACAGGUUUGCAUUAAAAGAAAUUGCAUGGGGGCACCUGGGUGGCUCAGUCGGUUGAGCGACCGACUUCGGCUCAGGUCACGAUCUCACGGUUUGUGGGUUUGAGGCCCGUGUCGGGCUCUGUGCCGAAAGAGCCUGGAUCCCGGAUCCUGUUUCGGAUCCUGUCUCUGUCUCUCUGCCCCUCCCCCACGCUUGCACGUGUUCUCUCCCUCUCUCUCUCUCCCUCUCUCAAAAAUAAAUAAACAUUUUAGAAAUAAAAGAAACUGCA
rnacentral:lncRNA from 1 species